UACGGAGGAUCCAAGCGUUAUCCGGAUUCAUUGGGUUUAAAGGGUGCGUAGGCGGAAUUGUAAGUCAGUGGUGAAAGCCUGCAGCUUGACUGCAGAAUUGCCAUUGAUACUGCAAAUCUUGAGUACAUUUGAUGUGGGCGGAAUGUGCCAUGUAGCGGUGAAAUGCUUAGAUAUGACACAGAACACCGAUUGCGAAGGCAGCUCACAAAACUGUAACUGACGCUGAGGCACGAAAGCGUGGGGAUCGAACAGG
rnacentral:rRNA from 1 species